UGGGUUUGAAAUCCUUGGAUUAUCCUGAUGAAAGUCGGGUACACCCUUCGGGGCGGAACUUGGACAGGUGCUGCAUGGCUGUCGUCAGCUCGUGUCGUGAGAUGUCGGGUUAAGUCCCUUAACGAGCGAAACCUUUGCCCUUAGUUACCAGCGGGUUAUGCCGGGGACUCUAAGGGGACUGCCGGUGUCAAACCGGAGGAAGGUGGAGAUGACGUCAAGUCCGCAUGGCCUUUAUGCCCAGGGCCACACACGUGC
rnacentral:rRNA from 1 species